rnacentral:rRNA from 1 species
GCCUAAUACAUGCAAGUCGAGCGAAUGGAUUAAGAGCUUGCUCUUAUGAAGUUAGCGGCGGACGGGUGAGUAACACGUGGGUAACCUGCCCAUAAGACUGGGAUAACUCCGGGAAACCGGGGCUAAUACCGGAUAACAUUUUGAACCGCAUGGUUCGAAAUUGAAAGGCGGCUUCGGCUGUCACUUAUGGAUGGACCCGCGUCGCAUUAGCUAGUUGGUGAGGUAACGGCUCACCAAGGCAACGAUGCGUAGCCGACCUGAGAGGGUGAUCGGCCACACUGGGACUGAGACACGGCCCAGACUCCUACGGGAGGCAGCAGUAGGGAAUCUUCCGCAAUGGACGAAAGUCUGACGGAGCAGCGCCGCGUGAGUGAUGAAGGCUUUCGGGUCGUAAAACUCUGUUGUUAGGGAAGAACAAGUGCUAGUUGAAUAAGCUGGCACCUUGACCGCCCCCACCCAGAAAGCCACGGCUAACUACGUGCCAGCAGCCGCGGUAAU